AAAAAGGAAAGAUAAUACCAAACAGAAACACAAAGUACAAGAUUUAAAAAAUCACAGAACGAAUCAGGAAGGAAACUGGAACAAAUCCUAUAAUAACUGUAAAAACUACAAACAAGAAAACUGAAAAACCAUGGAUAUGGGAAGUCCGACUUUGUUUUGAUAUUACCUUCAAGAUAAAGGAUUGCGAAACAAAAAAUAAUGAUGAAGAAAAUACUAAAAUUGUUUAUCCACAUGACGAAUCUUGGCAGACACAUCCAAAAAAAAUUUGCAAGAACAAGACAUCUUUGUGAAUAUACAUCAAUUUUAACUCGUUUGAGAAGUGAAAUAUCAAUUCAUAUAAUUAUAGUUGCUUUAUCUAUCUUAUACAAUUUUCGCUUUGACAAAAUUAUGCAACAUUGAGACAGAGAGAGACAGAUAAUAUUCAAUAUUAAUGUGUAAUUUUUAUUAUGAUUAUUUUAAUUUUUAUAUGUGUCUGUAGACAUUUCCCGGCCGUGAUUAUACUUAGACAAGAAGAUGGAAAGAUGCAUCAAAAUUAGUAUUGUGCUGUCAUAGAUUUUAUUGAACAGAUAAAUGUAAGAGAGAGAGAGAGAGAGAGAGAGAGAGAGAGAGAGAGAGAGAGAGAGAGAGAGAGAGAGAGAGAGAGAGAGAGAGAAGGAAUGUUAUCGUCAGCAUGUAUAUUAUGAAGUAAGUGUAAUAUAGUUUACUAUUUGUUUCAAAUAAAUCUUUCUUAACUGCAGGAAAAAAUUAA